AUUGAACGCUGGCGGCAGGCCUAACACAUGCAAGUCGAGCGGUUGACGGGAGCUUGCUCCCUAAUUCAGCGGCGGACGGGUGAGUAAUGCCUAGGAAUCUGCCUAUUAGUGGGGGACAACGUUUCGAAAGGAACGCUAAUACCGCAUACGUCCUACGGGAGAAAGCAGGGGACCUUCGGGCCUUGCGCUAAUAGAUGAGCCUAGGUCGGAUUAGCUAGUUGGUGAGGUAAUGGCUAACCAAGGCGACGAUCCGUAACUGGUCUGAGAGGAUGAUCAGUCACACUGGAACUGAGACACGGUCCAGACUCCUACGGGAGGCAGCAGUGGGGAAUAUUGGACAAUGGGCGAAAGCCUGAUCCAGCCAUGCCGCGUGUGUGAAGAAGGUCUUCGGAUUGUAAAGCACUUUAAGUUGGGAGGAAGGGUUGUAGAUUAAUACUCUGCAAUUUUGACGUUACCGACAGAAUAAGCACCGGCUAACUCUGUGCCAGCCGCCGCCGUAAGAC
rnacentral:rRNA from 1 species